UGNNNNUGGCGGCAUGCCUUNACAUGCAAGUCGAACGGUAACAGGUCUUCGGAUGCUGACGAGUGGCGAACGGGUGAGUAAUACAUCGGAACGUGCCCGAUCGUGGGGGAUAACGCAGCGAAAGCUGUGCUAAUACCGCAUACGAUCUACGGAUGAAAGCGGGGGAUCGCAAGACCUCGCGCGGACGGAGCGGCCGAUGGCAGAUUAGGUAGUUGGUGGGAUAAAAGCUUACCAAGCCGACGAUCUGUAGCUGGUCUGAGAGGACGACCAGCCACACUGGGACUGAGACACGGCCCAGACUCCUACGGGAGGCAGCAGUGGGGAAUUUUGGACAAUGGGCGAAAGCCUGAUCCAGCCAUGCCGCGUGCAGGAUGAAGGCCUUCGGGUUGUAAACUGCUUUUGUACGGAACGAAAAAGUCUUCUCUAAUACAGGGGGCGAAUGACGGUACCGUAAGAAUAAGCACCGGCUAACUACGUGCCAGCAGCCGCGGUAAUACGUAGGGUGCGAGCGUUAAUCGGAAUUACUGGGCGUAAAGCGUGCGCAGGCGGUUAUAUAAGACAGAUGUGAAAUCCCCGGGCUCAACCUGGGAACUGCAUUAGUGACUGUAUAGCUAGAGUGCGGC
rnacentral:rRNA from 1 species